AUGAAGUAUCGAAGCCCAUCCAAAGGUGCAUCUAAGAACCUCACAUCUCGUACCCACCAACAGGUUUUGUCUUUCCAUUUCCUUCAUCACAUCCAAAACUACGCGCCAAAGCCAAAAAUCAGUGAGAAAAUAGCCAUGGAAACUCGAAUUGGCAACUCCCUCAGCCUCCUUCUACAAGACCCCAAUGACCUCAAAACUGACUUCAACUCCCUCUUCAACAAUCUCAACACUUCCUUUUUUUCCACCCCAAUUCUACAUCACAAGAACCCCAAAUCAACAAAUCAUCGUUUCAGUCCCAAUUUCAAGUUUUGUUCAACUUCUGUUUCAAUUGAAGCACAAAUCAAGAACCCCACUUCGAAUUUUCUAAAACCUGCUACUAGGGACUCCUCAAAAGUUCAGGUUCUGUUCAAGAAUCUUUCUGUUUUUGAAAGAGCGCUUAUUGGUGCAGCUGGUGGUGGCAUUGCUGGUGCAUUCACGUAUGUAUGUCUUCUUCCACUUGACACAAUCAAAACUAAGCUUCAAACUAAAGGGGCAUCGGAAAUUUACAGUGGAGCUAUUGAUGCUUUUGUCAAGACUUUUCAAAGUAAGGGGAUUCUUGGGUUUUACAGUGGUAUUUCAGCUGUAAUUGUUGGGUCUACUGCUUCUUCUGCUGUGUAUUUUGGGACUUGUGAGUUUGGAAAGUCAAUCUUGUCGAAAUUUCCGCAAUACCCAUCUGUGCUUAUCCCACCAACAGCUGGUGCAAUGGGGAAUAUAGUAUCAUCUGCUAUAAUGGUGCCGAAGGAGUUGAUUACUCAGCGAAUGCAGGCUGGGGCUAAAGGGAGGUCUUGGCAGGUGUUAAUGAGAAUCUUGGAAAAAGAUGGAAUUUUGGGGUUGUAUGCUGGAUAUAGUGCUACAUUGUUGAGGAAUUUGCCUGCUGGGGUUUUGAGUUAUUCAUCAUUUGAGUACUUGAAAGCCGCGGUAUUGAGUAAUGUGAAGAAGGAACGUUUGGAGCCAUUUCAGAGUGUUUGUUGUGGGGCAUUGGCUGGUGCAAUAUCAGCUUCACUAACAACCCCUUUGGAUGUGGUGAAGACUAGGUUGAUGACUCAAGUUCAUUCUGAAGCUGCCAAUAAGGUUGGUGCUGUAAUGGUUACUGGCGUCUCAGCUACUGUUAGACAGAUAUUGACGGAAGAAGGCUGGGUUGGUUUUACCCGGGGAAUGGGUCCUAGAGUACUUCAUAGUGCUUGUUUUUCAGCUCUCGGGUACUUUGCAUUUGAGACGGCUAGGCUUACAAUUUUGGAUCAGUAUUUGAAGCAUAAGGAGCUAGAGACUCUGGUUCCUGAAGAGGAUGCAACCCAGGCCAACUAGAAUGUAUGAGUAAUGGUUCUUACAUACAGCUGUUACAACCUUUUGCAGUCACUGUGCAUAUCAUACAGCAUCUUCAAUCAUGACAUGGAAUGCGCAAAAUUCCUCCAACAGCAGCAGUUCAUACAGGUAGUAACUGCAGAAAUGUCCCCGAGUGCACAUAUUCAUUUUUCAGUUAAUAUACUAAUCAAAUAACUCUUAUUCAAAAAACACUGCUCAAAUGCCUGAAAGGAUCACAGCAUACUAGGCAAUGAUUAUCAGCAAAUAACCAUGGAAAGAUAUAUUUCAGAUGCAUUGAACGAAGCAGUAGCCCUGUUCGGGACUUCUCUCUUCAGUUCCCAUGCCUGUCAUCGGCAGCAAGAAUCCUACCUUGUAAUUCCUGUAACUAGUUCAGAGACAUAGCCAUUUUACGUCAAUGAAUAAUUAUAUCGGAAAGAGUAUCUUUUCCUAGGUACAAGCUCAUAGUUGUGCUCCCUCCUUAGACUACACAGCUUUUGAAAAUUUUCAUCUUUAGAAAAGCUUCCAUGCUGAUUGUAUUUAAGUCAAGAAAAGGCUUGUUUGUUGCUCCAAAAUACCAACAUUUUCAAUAGUUCCAUCAAUGAAGAAUUUUUGUGUAUCACACCUGGACAAGUGAUGCUCUUACCAGCAGCUACCUUCUUCUGUCAAUUCAACAAAUGACUUUCUUGGA